GUUUAUUGGGCACUUCCUAGCACCAGGCACUGCAAUAAGAAAUGGAGGUUAAACCAUGAAGAAACAUGGCUCUAGCCCUUAGGGAGCUCCCGGUCCUGCAGACCCCACAUAUAGGAACCAUCGGAUCCCUGUGUACAGAUGAAGAACUGAGUCUUGGAAAGCUUAACUACCUUGCUCACAGUCACACGUUAAGGUCUAAAGUGAGAAAUUAAACCAAGUCUUCCAAUCUCAAAGACUUUAAAGGAAAAGCUACAAGCUACAAG
rnacentral:circRNA from 1 species